AGCCUGACCAGCAUGCGCGUGAGGGAUGACUGCCUUAGGGCUGUAAACCUCUUUUCUCACGAAAGAAAUUCUGACGUGUACGUGAGGAAUAGACAGCGAGCGAACUCCGUGCCAGCAGCCGCGGUAAUGCCGGGGAUGCCCGCGUUAUCCAGAAUCCUUGCGCGUACCGCACCUGUAGGGUGUUUAAGGUCUCUGUUGUGAAAGACUAGGGCUAAGCCCUAUCAAAGCACUGGACACUACUACACCUGUUUAUGGCAGGGGUCUAGAGUUUUUCUAGUGUAGCUGUAAUAUGCAUAGAUAUUAAAAAAAACACCGGUGGCAAACGCGCUCUACUGUGCCAUUGCUGACUCUCAUAGGCAAACGCUCGGGUAGCAAAAAGGAUUAGAUACCCCUGUAGUCCUAGCCUAUACACGAUAGGACACUACCAUGUUGUGCUUUAUACUACACUGUCCUAGCUAACG
rnacentral:rRNA from 1 species